rnacentral:rRNA from 1 species
AUUGAACGCUGGCGGCAGGCCUAACACAUGCAAGUCGAACGAGUGGCGGACGUGUGAGUAAUGUCUGGGAAACUGCCUGAUGGAGGGGGAUAACUACUGGAAACGGUAGCUAAUACCGCAUACUAUACGAUGAGCCUAGGUGGGAUUAGCUAGUUGGUGGGGUAAAGGCUUACCUAGGCGACGAUCCGUAACUGGUCUGAGAGGCGGAUCAGCAACACGGGAACUGAGACACGGUCCAGACUCAUACGGGAGGCAGCAGUGGGGAAGAGUGGACAAGGGGCGAAAGCAUGAUGCAGCCAUGCCGCGUGUAUGAAGAAGGUCUUCGGGUUGUAAAGCACGUUAAGUGGGGAGGCGUUACCAGCAGAAUAAGCACCGGCUAACUUCGUGCCAGCAGCCGCGGUAAUAC